rnacentral:lncRNA from 1 species
UCAGGACAGUGUCUAUAGCAGUUUAGGAAAGAAGGCGGCUCCCUGGGCUGGAGACGACGCAAUGCUCUGGGAAGACCCCUGGGUGCGGGUGAGAGAGGAAUCCGAGCUGCACAAGGCCAAUGAGGGGAGGACGACCCGCCCGAUUUAGAUAAAGGCAGAGCUGUUCCGCCAUGCAGACGGGGAGCCUGCCUGUUCUUUAACCUCUCCUACCUGAUGGGAGAGGACAAGCUACCAGGACAGCUUGUCUCACCAAGAAAUUGUGAUACCGCAUCCCCCAACGUGCUGGCUUCCUGACUUCCAAAGUUGCGGGUGUAAGACAUGACUUCGCUCAUCCUUGCCUUCCUCCAUGAUUGUGAACCCCACUGCCCUGACCUACAGCCAUGUGGAAUUGCAAGGUAAGAAGAACUACAGAGGAAGAACCUAAUGCAGACGUUUCCCAGGAGACUUUAACUGAAGUAUCAGCAAACUGAAAGGCUACACUGCGGAUGCAGAUAUAAACUUACUCUCACCUAUAUGGAUCCAUACCAUCUCAGACUGGAAAACAGCCAUACAAG